rnacentral:rRNA from 1 species
AGGUGUGUGGAUGGGUAGGGGAGCGUCGUGUGGCCAUGGAAGCGGCAGGGUGACCUAGCCGUGGAGGCCACACGAGUGAGAAUGCAGGCAUGAGUAGCGAAAGACGAGUGAGAAACUCGUCCGCCGAAUGACCAAGGGUUCCUGGGCCAGGUUAAUCCGCCCAGGGUGAGUCGGGACCUAAGACGAGGCCGACAGGCGUAGCCGAUGGACAACGGGUUGAUAUUCCCGUACCCGUGUGAACGCGCCCAUGGUGAAUCAGUGAUACUAACCGUCCUGAAGCCACGAGAAGACCUUCGGGUCUCGAGUUGGUGGAUGCACGGGACCUGAUCUGGUAGUAGCCAAGCGAUGGGGUGACGCAGGAAGGUAGCUGGGCCGGUCAGUGGUAAUACCGGUGUAAGCGUGUAGGGCGUGACCUAGGCAAAUCCGGGUCGCAUAUAAGCCUGAGACGUGAUGCGUAGCCGAUUGAGGCGAAUUCAGUGAUCCUAUGCUGCCGAGAAAAGCCUCUAGCGAGCUUUCACACGGCCCGUACCCCAAACCGACACAGGUGGUCAGGUAGAGAAUACUAAGGCGAUCGAGAUAACUAUGGUUAAGGAACUCGGCAAAAUGCCCCCGUAACUUCGGGAGAAGGGGGGCCCUGUCUGGUGACGACAUUUACUGUCUGAGCUGGGUGGGGCCGCAGAGACCAGUGAGAAGCGACUGUUUACUAAAAACACAGGUCCGUGCGAAGUCGUAAGACGAUGUAUACGGACUGACGCCUGCCCGGUGCUGGAAGGUUAAGAGGACCGGUUAGUUCCUUCGGGAGCGAAGCUGAGAAUUUAAGCCCCAGUAAACGGCGGUGGUAACUAUAACCAUCCUAAGGUAGCGAAAUUCCUUGUCGGGUAAGUUCCGACCUGCACGAAUGGCGUAACGACUUCUCAGCUGUCUCAACCGUAGACUCGGCGAAAUUGCAUUACGAGUAAAGAUGCUCGUUACGCGCGGCAGGACGAAAAGACCCCGGGACCUUCACUACAGCUUGGUAUUGGUGUUCGGUUCGGUUUGUGUAGGAUAGGUGGGAGACUGUGAAACGGUGACGCCAGUUAUCGUGGAGUCGUUGUUGAAAUACCACUCUGAUCGAAUUGGACCUCUAACCUCGGACCAUGAUCUGGUUCAGGGACAGUGCCUGGUGGGUAGUUUAACUGGGGCGGUUGCCUCCCAAAAUGUAACGGAGGCGCCCAAAGGUUCCCUCAGCCUGGUUGGCAAUCAGGUGUCGAGUGCAAGUGCACAAGGGAGCUUGACUGUGAGACUGACAGGUCGAGCAGGGACGAAAGUCGGGACUAGUGAUCCGGCACCGGCAAGUGGAAGCGGUGUCGCUCAACGGAUAAAAGGUACCCCGGGGAUAACAGGCUGAUCUUCCCCAAGAGUCCAUAUCGACGGGAUGGUUUGGCACCUCGAUGUCGGCUCGUCGCAUCCUGGGGCUGGAGUAGGUCCCAAGGGUUGGGCUGUUCGCCCAUUAAAGCGGCACGCGAGCUGGGUUUAGAACGUCGUGAGACAGUUCGGUCUCUAUCCGCCGCGCGCGUAAGAAACUUGAGGAAGGCUGUCCCUAGUACGAGAGGACCGGGACGGACGAACCUCUGGUGUGCCAGUUGUUCCGCCAGGAGCACCGCUGGUUAGCUACGUUCGGAAGGGAUAACCGCUGAAAGCAUCUAAGCGGGAAGCCUGUUCCAAGAUGAGGUUUCUCACCCCCUCGAGGGGGUAAGGCCCCCGGCAGACCACCGGGUUGAUAGGCCAGAACUGGAAGUACAGUAAUGUAUGCAGGUGACUGGUACUAAUAGGCCGAGGACUUACCACA